ACGGAGGAUCCGAGCGUUAUCCGGAUUUACUGGGUUUAAAGGGCGCGUAGGCUGAAGAUCAAGUCUGUUGUGAAAAACCGAUGCUCAACUUCGGUCGUGCAAUUGAAACUGGUCUACUAGAGUGUACUAGAGGCAGGUGGAAUUUCUGGUGUAGCGGUGAAAUGCAUAGAUAUCAGAAGGAACUCCGAUUGCGAAAGCAGUCUGCUGCAGUAUGACUGACGCUGAGUCGCGAAAGUGUGGGUAUCAAACAG
rnacentral:rRNA from 1 species